rnacentral:tRNA from 1 species
GGUAGUUUGUGAAGUGGUAGAGUGCAUGCUUAGCAUGCAUGAGGUCCUGGGUUCAAUGCCCAGUAUUACCA